rfam:Schistosoma rodhaini strain Burundi genome assembly, scaffold: SROB_scaffold0003882
ACACUGGAGGAGUCCCAUAAUAGGACGAAACGGCCGUCCAGUGU